UUUGAAAUGCAUCCCUUUCUUUCUUAAUGGGUGGUUAGCAGGAAGAAAUCGACGAUGACCCAUAUACACGACCUUCCUACUAUGUUUCAAAUACAUGAUGUCUGUGUCGUCUAAACAGCUGAUGUAGGCUUGAUAUCCCUUGUUUGUUUGUCCUAAAAGGUUACUUAGCGCAGGCCAAUCAUUGAUGGUUAUGAACAACAAUACUCGUAGGUCAAAGCUCUCUUGUUUAUCCUCAUC
rnacentral:lncRNA from 1 species